UUCCCCUUUCCCCUUUCCCCUUUUCCUUUUCCUUCUCAUCUUAUUUCACGGCUUCUUCUUUCCCCUUUCCCUUCCAUUUCAUUUUAUCACAUAUUCACGUCCCUUUCUCCCAUCCUCUCCACUUUCUUGUUAUUUUCUCAACAUCUUCCACUCUCCUCUCUCAAGCUACUCAACUCUCAUCUCCCACAGCCAACAUAUCUAAAUCAUCUAAUCUAUCUUAGAUUCUCAGAAGAAGAAAAAAAGAAAUACAAAAGGGAUGAAUGGUUUUACUUGGUGUUUACCUUGUCGAUCUGCUUUAAAGUUGUUCGUUGUGGUGAUGGGUGGAUGUUGGAUUGCUGGAAGGAUCUCUUAGAGUUUGGAGGACGUGAAAUUAGCAAGAAGGAAGAAAGAAGUUGUGAUCCUAAGGUUGGAGGAAAUCGCGGAGGAGACUUUUAA